rnacentral:rRNA from 1 species
AGUGAGCGCUGGCGGCAGGCCUAACACAUGCAAGUCGAGCGGCAGCGGGUUCCCGCGAGGGGAUGCCGGCGAGCGGCGGACGGGUGAGGAACACAUCGGAAUCUGCCUGGUUGUGGGGGAUAACGUAGGGAAACUUACGCUAAUACCGCAUGAGACCCUGAGUCGACGGACUGGGGGUGAAAGUGAGGGACCUUCGGGCCUCACGCGACCAGAUGAGCCGAUGUCGGAUAGCUAGUUGGCGGGGUAACGGCCCGCCAAGGCGACGAUCCGUAGCUGGUCUGAGAGGAUGAUCAGCCACACUGGGACUGAGACACGGCCAGACUCCUACGGGAGGCAGCAGUGGGAAUCUUGGACAAUGGGCGCAAGCCUGAUCCAGCC